rnacentral:misc_RNA from 1 species
UUUCCGUAGGUGAACCUGCGGAAGGAUCAUUACUGAGAUGGGGUCCCUCGGGGCCCGACCUCCAACCCCGUAACUACCUUACCAUUCUGUUGCCUCGGCGGGCCUCUGGGAUUCGUCCCAUGUCCGCCGGCGGCCCCUAUAAACUCUGUUACUUAUAAGCAAUCUGAGCGUUUUCCAAAAAUAAAGUUAAAACUUUCAACAACGGAUCUCUUGGUUCUGGCAUCGAUGAAGAACGCAGC